AAAAGAACCUCUCUCGGAUACAUCACUUCUUUCUCACUAUUAUAUAUCUAUCCCUCAUAGAUACAUUCAUCCCCUGUGUAUCUUGAACCUACCCCUCCUUUUAAUACAUUCCUCCCCUCUUGGUACAUCUCUCUCCUAUAUAUCCAUUGUCCUAUUUCCUCUCAAACACAUCUCUCUCUUAUGUACCCAAAAUAUUUUUUUAUAAAAGAAGCAAAAUACAACAUUAAGAGAAAAAAGUCAAAAAGAAGAUAAAAAUGCAAAAAGACAAAAAUUCAUGAUUACAAUUUUAUAACAAACGCAAGCAUAGAGAGAGAGAAAAUAUUUAGAAAAAAGAAACAUAACAAAAACGGCUCAUAUUAUGACAAACUCCUAUUUGCAACUCCCCUUACGUCACGCCACAUACAAUUAUUUUCUUCUAUUAUUAUAUACUUUCUUUUCAUUUUAGUUUGGUAUUCUAUAUUUAUUUUGAGUGUCUAUUCAUUUAUGUUUAAAGGUUUAAAAUUUAUACUUAAAAAUAAAAAAGUAAUUGUUAAUUCAUUUAAGCCAUUUUCCAUCUUUAAUAGCUAUUUUUACGGUGAAAAAAAUUUGAUAGUAAGUUACCUUCCAUAUAUACGAAAUUCAUCAUAUUAUUGUCACAACUUUGGUUUAUUGUUUGAUUUUAUCCUUGUCGUUACAUUUACCCUCCCGUUACUAAUUUCACCAAAAUUAUCCCUCAUAAAAUGAAAUUCCCAAAAUUACCCAACUUGACCCAUUUACCUGAUAAUUUUUUUAAAAAGAAAAACGUAUUCCCUAUUUUUAACGAAUGACCCGACCCCUCUAGGAUAACCCUGUACCAACUAACCCAAUUAACCAUAUUACCCAUUCCUAUUUUCUCGCAAAUUUACCCAUUAACUUCUCCUCUAAUUUUCUAUGACGAUCUUGCUCAACAAAUAAAAUUUUCACCAACGAAAGGUAAAAUUUGUGGAUUUUAAAUUAUUUUUUAUACGAAAUCUCUCUUUUGUUCUACCCAUUAUUCUGCCAGCAUCUCUCUUUCGUUCACCUCUUAUUUUUCUUCUAAGAAAAUGUCACAAAAUAGUUAUUCGUCUUAAAGAAAAUGUUCUUGUUGUUUGGUGGUCGAAACACUGAUUUCGAGUACUACAUCUAAUCCGGGAAGAAGGUUUUUCCGAUGCCCUCGUCCCGAUUGUUCUUAUGACAGUUUUCUUCAAAUGGAUAUUGGGAAUGGAAAUACCAAGCUUUUCCUGAAGUAGCUUAUCUACGUAAUUUAGAUUCGUCUUUGAAAGAUGUCAAAAUGGAAAAGAACAAUACGAAGAUUGAAUUAGUGGAGAAUUUGAAGAUUAUAACAGAGAAGUUGAAGAUAGUUGUGAAAAAUUUGAAGAUAAAAGUAGGCAAUUUGUCAGAAACAAUUGUUAGUCUUUACUUUCAGCAUCAGUUGUUAGUGUUUAUUAAUUUCAGUUGUUAGUGUCUUUUGUGAUGUUGGUUCCCUUUUUGUUCUUCAUUUUGGUGUUGUAAUGGGAGGACCUUUUUGUUCUUCAUUUUGGUGUUGUAAUGGAAGGACACUGAUAUAAUAUGAAGUAAUGUUUAGUAAUUGAAUUAAUACACACUAAAAAGUAAUGUUCAAA